AAAAAAGUGAUUUUCUUUCAAAAACAAGGACAUUUGUAAGUGACCACAAUCUUUUGAAAGGUAAUGUACAUUUUGGGGAGAAUCUGGGAAAUCCUAUAUCAGGCGUAUGGUAUUUUCUCAAUAGAAAUGACGCGAGGCAAGAGCAGAGAUCAGCUUCUCAUUAGCUAGCUAACAUUAGCUUUAUUAUAUCUAUAUAGUGUUAGGUGUACUGUUGUUUUGAAAUAACAUUCUUUAUAUUGAUUUGAUUGUAUACAUAGUCUUAGCAAGCUCUUUGGCAGCAAGCUAAGCAUUUUUAGCUAUAAUAUUUAGCUAGCUAGCUUGCUUUGCAAAUGUUAGCCUAGUUAGCAUCAAGUGUUAUAGAAAAAUGGCCGUAGAAGCAACUCUAGCUUAGUUUAGAAGAAAGACUGACUUUUCAAUUCAUUUUGAUGCACCUGUAGAACAAGGAGCUAGUUAGCAAAGAUUUUUAUCUGUGCCCUUGGUGUACAACAGCUUCUAUGUACAACAAACUCCCUCACGAUGCCAGGACAGCGGAGUCAAUCACCACCUUCCGGAGACACCUGAAACCCCACCUCUUUAAGGAAUACCUGGGUUAGGAUAAAGUAAUCAUUCUAACCCCCCCCCCCACAAAAAAAGAUAUAGAUGUACUAUUGUAAAGUGGUUGUUCCACUGGAUAUCAUAAGGUGAAUGCACCAAUUUGUAAGUCGCUCUGGAUAAGAGCGUCUGCUAAAUGAUGUAAAUGUAAUACCCAUGACAGAUAAUGCCAUCAUGGUUUGAUAGGCCUGAGACCCCAGUGCAGCUCAAUGUAAACAAGUGUAAUGGAAGGGUGGGAAUCUUCCGGCUAGCGUAGCAUGGACAAACCUAACACAAAUUAAAGUUUAUGUAGUUGCCAUAAUAUUUGAAGAUGGGGAUUGGACCACUCAUCCGGAUAAACAUUAGCUAGUUAUCGGUAAAGCUGUCUAACGUUAACAGUUAGCUAGCUGAUAUGCUCAGUGUCUGCUUGUGCCAUUUGCACCAUGAUACACCUGCACACACCCCUAGUAUGACUUCAAGGAUUUGAAGACCUAUUUCUCAAAGAUGGAAUGGACCGGUCUAGUGAAAUGUGAGAGAGUGCACUACAGAAACUUGAAGAGGAACCACCUGGCUAUAGGGCUGAACUCCCCAGUACCUGCUUUUAUGAGGAGAGGCAGAUUUAAACUGGUGAACAAUGCUCAGCUUCUCGCACCCAGUGACUCCGAGGAGGAUGAGUGGACCCCUCGCCUGGAGAGAUGCUGGAGUUAUGUAGUGAAAGCAGAGGGAAAAAUAAGCUUUUGGAAUGAAAGAGGCUCUGACAAGAUUGAAAGAAGAGGAGGAUGUUACAGUGAAAGAGGGGGAGGAAGAGAACUGUCACAGUGAAAGAGGAGAUUGGAGGUCUGAUUAACACCAGGACACCUCGGAGCUUCCGACCCUCUGCAGCGUCUCAAGGAGCCCCUCAGCCUGACAAACUGGCUACACCUACAGUACAGGUGAGUGUUUGUUUACAACAGUACAGGUGAGUGUUUGUUUACAACAGUACAGGUGAGUGUUUGUUUACAACAGUACAGGUGAGUGUUUGUUUACAACAGUACAGGUGAGUGUUUGUUUACAACGGUGCAGGUGAGUGUUUGUUUACAACGGUACAGGUGAGUUUGUUUACAACGGUACAGGUGAGUGUUUGUUUACAACGGUACAGGUGAGUGUUUGUUUACAACGGUACAGGUGAGUGUUUGUUUACAACGGUACAGGUGAGUGUUUGUUUACAACGGUACAGGUGAGUGUUUGUUUACAAC
rnacentral:lncRNA from 1 species